UACGUAGGGUGCGAGCGUUAAUCGGAAUUACCGGGCGUAAAGCGUGCGCAGGCGGUUUUGUAAGCCAGGUGUGAAAUCCCCGGGCUCAACCUGGGAAUGGCAUUUGGGACUGCAAGGCUGGAGUGUGGCAGAGGAGACUGGAAUUCCUGGUGUAGCAGUGAAAUGCGUAGAUAUCAGGAGGAAUACCGAUGGCGAAGGCAGGUCUCUGGGCUGACACUGACGCUCAUGCACGAAAGCGUGGGGAGCAAACAGG
rnacentral:rRNA from 1 species